AUACUUACCUAAUAGGAAGAUACCAUGAUCACAAAGGUGAUUUUCCCGGGCUGAGGCUUAUCCAUUACACUCCAGAUGUGCUGACACCUGCGAUUUCCCCAAAUGUGGGAAACUCAAACACAGAAUUUUUUUGUAGGGGAGAUUGUGUUUUCACUCUCCCUUA